AUUGAACGCUGGCGGCAUGCUUUACACAUGCAAGUCGAACGGCAGCGCGGGCUUCGGCCUGGCGGCGAGUGGCGAACGGGUGAGUAAUACAUCGGAACGUGCCCAGUUGUGGGGGAUAGCUCGGCGAAAGCCGGAUUAAUACCGCAUACGACCUGAGGGUGAAAGCGGGGGAUCUUCGGACCUCGCGCUAUUGGAGCGGCCGAUGGCAGAUUAGCUAGUUGGUGGGGUAAAGGCCUACCAAGGCGACGAUCUGUAGCUGGUCUGAGAGGACGACCAGCCACACUGGGACUGAGGCACGGCCCAGACGCCUACGAGAGGCAGCAGUGGGGAAUUUUGGACAAUGGGCGAAAGCCUGAUCCAGCAAUGCCGCGUGUGUGAUGAAGGCCUUCGGGUUGUAAAGCACUUUUGGCGGGAACGAAAAGGACUGGGCCAAUACCACGGUUCGAUGACGGUACCCGCAGAAUAAGCACCGGCUAACUACGUG
rnacentral:rRNA from 1 species